AAUGAACGCUGGCGGCAGGCCUAACACAUGCAAGUCGAACGGAUCCUUCGGGAUUAGUGGCGGACGGGUGAGUAACGCGUGGGAACAUACCCAAAGGUACGGAAUAGCCUCGGGAAACUGGGAGUAAUACCGUAUGUGCUCGAAAGAGGAAAGAUUUAUCGCCUUUGGAUUGGCCCGCGUUGGAUUAGGUAGUUGGUGGGGUAAUGGCCUACCAAGCCGACGAUCCAUAGCUGGUUUGAGAGGAUGAUCAGCCACACUGGAACUGAGACACGGUCCAGACUCCUACGGGAGGCAGCAGUGGGGAAUUUUGGACAAUGGGCGAAAGCCUGAUCCAGCCAUUCCGCGUGCAGGAUGAAGGCCCUCGGGUUGUAAACUGCUUUUGUACAGAACGAAAAGGUUUCUACUAAUACUAGGAGCUCAUGACGGUACUGUAAGAAUAAGCACCGGCUAACUACGUGCCAGCCGCCGCGGUAA
rnacentral:rRNA from 1 species